UACUGUUUAAAAGAAUUCCCUCAUGAUUUUAAAACAACCUGCUUUUGCUUGGGUUUCUACUAACCUAACUGACCCUUGGGAAUCUCAUAACACCUACUAACUGUUACAUGAACUGGUAAAAAUCU